UACGGGGGGAGCAAGCGUUGUUCGGAUUUACUGGGCGUAAAGGGCGCGUAGGCGGCCACCGCAAGUCGACUGUGAAAUCUCCGGGCUUAACUCGGAAAGGUCAGCCGAUACUGCGGGGCUAGAGUGCAGAAGGGGCAACUGGAAUUCUCGGUGUAGCGGUGAAAUGCGUAGAUAUCGAGAGGAACACCUGCGGCGAAGGCGGGUUGCUGGGCUGACACUGACGCUGAUUGUGCGAAAGCUAGGGGAGCGAACGGGG
rnacentral:rRNA from 1 species